CUCCGCGAGUCCGUCAGUUCAGUUCUACACUCAGCCGCAAGUAUACAAACUUGAGGUAAGGUAGGAAAAUAGAGGCUGCAAACGGGCUAAUACUCUGGGAAAACAGAUGGCAGACAUGUUAGCUGGCAGUGUUCUCAUCACUGGGUGUAAUAGAGGCCUUGGCCUGGAGAUGAUUCGUCAACUCGUCACUUCCAGUACUCCGCCACGAGUAGUGAUCGGGACCUGCAGGAAACCUGAUGAAGCUUUGGAGCUGCAAGCGCUGGCUAAAGACUGCAGUAACCUCAGGAUUGUCAAGUUCGCUACAGCCACAGUAAGCAACACCUCCU